UUGAAAGGGAAACGAUUGAAGUCAGUCGUACCGACGAGAAAUCAGCUUAUCGUGUGUUAACUUGUGGGCGUGCGUGAGUUUCGGCCUCGCUGUUUGCAUGUUUGUGCGCUUUGGGUGUACUUUUUCGUAUGGUUGGCCAACAUCAGUUUCGAUUACUAUAAAAUGACUGGCGGAAUGUAGCUUCGAUUUCGGUUGAAGUGUUAUAGCCUCUGGUAGAUGUGGUGAUUGAGACUGAGGAUUGCAACGAAUAUCCUUUGGGCUAUCCGUUUGGCCUCUGAAAGUUGCUUGGGUGCUGAAAGCUUGCUUAUGGUUAUCUAAGUUAACGGCCAAUAGGUUAGAACGUGAUUACAUUCGUUAAGGAUGUUGACGUA
rnacentral:rRNA from 1 species